UAAUAAUUCCUUUAAUUUGAUUGAAUUCUAUUUUAUGAGAUAUUUUACUAAUAUUUUAAUUGCUUUGAAUUAUUUUUAAUUUUCAAUUACCUGUGUGUUUUUGUUAUAGCCAAUACAGUUUAAGCAAUCCCAGCAAGAGUAGCUGCUGCAACACCCUUAUCUGUAAAUGAAAGACACGAAUGAGAACUUAUACAUAUUGAAAGAAACGUUUACAAGUAGGCACGGGCAAAUUUGAAUGUAAAAAAAUAGUUUUUAAGACUAUAUGUCUCAAUUGUUGUAAAUGUGUACCUGUUUUUAUGUGAUAAUAUAAUAUUUUGACAAAAUUGCAAUCUCAUAAACAUUA